UCAAAACACCUAAAUUGUACUUUAAGGUUUAUAUCUUUACCAGUUAUAUGGCCCUAGGGAAUUCACUUAACUUCACUUGCAAAAGGAAGAAAGAUAGAAAAUGCUACUCAAGAUUAUGCAUCCAUGGAUUAUUUGCCUAAGUGAGUACUUCUGAGGCUGAUAGCUUGAAGUAACUGUAUUAGUCUGUUUUGUGUUACUACAAUAAAACAUCUAAGGUAAAAUAUUUUUAUGAAGAAAAGAUGUUUAUUUACCUCACAAUUUGGGAGGUUCAAGGGUGUUUUGUUAGCUUUUUCAUCACUGUGACCAAAAACCUGACAAGAUCAACUUAAGGAGGAAACAUUUAUUUGGGCUCAUGGUUUCAGAGAUUCAGCCCAUGGUCAGCAGACUCCCCAGCUCUGGGCCCAAGAUAAGGCAGAACAUCAUGGCAGAGGGCAUGGUGGAAGGAAAUACCUCAGACAUGAAUAUCAGGAAGCAGAUAAAGGGAACUGUGAUCACUAGGGACAAAAUAUGCUCCACCCAAAAGAUAUGCCCCCAGUGACCUGCCACACCCUACAUACCCCAGUUACUGCCCAGUUAAUCCAUAUCAGUGGAUUAAUGCACAGACUAGGUUAAGGUUCUCAUAACCUCAUCAUUUCACCUCAGAACUUUCUUGCAUUGUCUCAUACAUGAGGUUUUGGGGACACCCCAUCUCUAAACCAUAACAGAGGGCCAUAGCAAUAGCAUCAGCUCAACUCUGCUCCUCUUGGCUGCAUAACAUCAAGUCAGGUUGAUGGCCAGACAGAAAGCCAGAGAGGCUGGGGUCCCAAGAUGCCUUCUGAGGGAUAUGCCCCCGAUGACCAAAGGGCCUCUUACUAGGCUCCACCAUUUAAAAAUCCACCACCUCCCACCACCACACUAAGGAC
rnacentral:lncRNA from 1 species